rnacentral:sRNA from 1 species
AGCAGCCGCGGUAAUUCCAGCUCCAAUAGCGUAUAUUAAAGUUGCUGCAGUUAAAAAGCUCGUAGUUGAAUUUCGGGACCAUCAUGUCGGUCGUGCCUCGGUACGUACUGGCAUUGUUGGUUUCUCCCUUCUGACGAACCAUGAUGUCAUUUAUUUGGUGUCAUGGGAAAUCAGGACUGUUACUUUGAAAAAUUAGAGUGUUUAAAGCAGGCUCACGCUUGAAUACAUUAGCAUGGAAUAAUGAAAUAGGACGUUUGAUUCUAUUUUGUUGGUUUCUAGGAUCGACGUAAUGAUUAAUAGGGAUAGUUGGGGGCAUUAGUAUUCAAUUGUCAGAGGUGAAAUUCUUGGAUUUAUUGAAGACUAACUACUGCGAAAGCAUUUGCCAAGGAUGUUUUCAUUAAUCAAGAACGAAAGUUAGGGGAUCGAAGACGAUCAGAUACCGUCGUAGUCUUAACCAUAAACUAUGCCGACUAGGGAUCGGAUGAUGUUAAUUUUUAAUG